AAAUCAAAAUGCAUCUGGCAAAUUCUCUUGGUUGUCAUUUUUAAAAAAAUUAUUACUUUUGAGCAUGUAGUUUAGUUUUUGAGACAGCUGUCAAACAUAGAAACCAAGCAUACUAGAUAUUGAAAACUGUUCCUCGUCAUUGUCUGCUUGAAAUUGUUCGGCGUUAUAUUAGCACGGGGUUAUAUACACUAAAGUGAGAUUUCAG